GUUGUCAGUGCACAUUCAUUCCUGAUUGCUACACAGUACACAUGGGAGCCAACUGAGAGCCAUUAGGAUUGCAGAUCCGACAGCUUCGCUAUGAGCUGCCAGGUUAAGUUAAGAACUGAGGAUUAUAGAAGACCAAAUGUUUCUGCUGCAGCUCCAGAGGAUUUUCUUCUUUUUAAAUUGGGCAAUAGAAGAUGUCUAAAUCUGAAAGCAGAGAGACACGACAGAAUUAUAACUGAUGCAGCUAGUGAGUCACCAUAAAGAGUGAAAAGGUUUGCUGUCCCACAAAUUUCAUGCUGUGAUGUGCUGCCUCACCACAGGGCCGAAGCUGAGGGACCAUGCAACAAAUCGACACUCCAAACCAUGUGGUCUUUAUAUGUCCUCCACGUGAGCCCUGAACCUGGUAUCUCAAGUUUGUAGCGAUCCUCCUGCCUCAUUUUCCUGAGUGCCUGGGAUUACAAUGCACACAGCUUUGCCUUGACUGACUUGUCAUUAUUCCUUAAAUAAUUGUGUUAGCUUUCUGUCACAGUGACAAAAUCCUUGUGGCAAUCAGUUAAGCAUGAGGAAAGGUUUGUUUUGGUUCCUGGCUGGUUGGCUCCAUCGUUUCCAGGCCAGCCUUGGUGAGUUCAUACCAGCAAUGGAGCCCUUCAGUGCACAGCCAGGACCCCAGUACCCCUUCAAAGAAACAGACUGAGUGACUCAACUUCCACCAGACUUCGGAAAGUCUCCAGAUCACUUUCCAUAAUAUCACAGGCUGCUGAGUAAGUCUUAACAAAGGAGUUUUAGAGAACCAUUUCAGAUUCAAAUUCUAAAAUUCUUCCACGAGUCCUGAAAUGCUGAGCACCCUAUGUAAAAUGCAUCAAACAAUCUCCAAAAUCUCAACAGUUCACAAAUCCAAAUCUGAAUCACUUCUAAGUCGUGAAUCAAACUUUUAGCUGGGAACCCCUAUAGAAAACAAGGAAACAAUCUUUCCUACUUCUAGGAUAAGCAGUCCAAUCCAAAAGUGAGAAAUAGGAAAAUAGCAAAGAAUGAGACCAACGCAGAUCAAAUCCAAGUCAUAUUCCAAUUAGCAAGUCUGUGUCCAGCAUCUGGCAGUGAUACAUAUGCCUUGGAAGGCUUGGGCAGCACUGUACAGGGAUCUUGCUGGCGGCAGCUCAGUGACCACUGUCUUGGGCUGCCUGUAGUUUCCUUCAGCAUUUUUCCACAUUCCUGGAAUCUCUAACUUCCUGUGGUCUCAGUUUCAGGUUUGACGUCACUCUCACAGCAUCCUCUCAUGUGCUACCCUGAGAGACUCUGAACCUGCCAUCAAGAGCCUUGCCUGUGAGGCUUUCCCUUGAAAUCUUAUGGGAAUGUUCCACGGUCCCAUGAAGUUUAUAUUCUGCAUGCCUGCAAAACCAGUCACAUGCGGAUACAGCCAAGGUCUAUUGCUGACCAUAGCUGUACUGGGUCGAAUCAAACCACAACCGUAGUGACCUCUGGAUGUCUGGUUGGCUAAACCUAUGGAAAUAAAUCUCAAACAAACAGUUCUACAAGUGGCCUUGUGCCAGAUCUCACAUCUCAAAAGUAAAUAUAUCAGUGAAUGCAUCAAUAAAUAUGAAGUUUUUGAGACUGUGUGUUGACCUGGCCAGUGUGAUCCCUUCAGUGUGCUUCCUGUCUGACCUCUUUAGGAUUUGCAGACUUCUUCACUUUCCAGCAUACCAAAAUCUCCUGUCUCAGGGUCUCUGCUAAGACGUGAAACAGAUAGUAUUCCUUUUGCACUGAUGCAGAACAUACUUUGAUGCCAUUGCCAGUGUUUCAUUGUUAUUGUUACUGUUUAUUGCUAUUUUUUGAAAUUAUCUUCUGAUCUAGUGGCCACAUAUCAAGCCUUCAUGCAUCUGUCAUAGACAGUUUUGUCAAGAGACAUCUGCUUGAAAAUUAAAUGUCUAUGUGUUUAAUUACUUUGAAUUCAAAGUGGACUAUUUCAGAUUGGUAAGUAUGUGCAUUAUAUCUCCCAUUGUUUUGGUCCCAAUUGAGUAUGGUAAGUAUUAAUAUAUGAUACCAAGCAUUAAGUAUGUGCAUACCUCUCUGUGUGCUGCUGUUUGUUUUUAUACAAACACAGAAAUAGCCUAGAAUAAGGGUGGGGAAGAUCUGUAAAGGAGCAGAAACAUAAUUUCAUUUUCAUUUCCUCUGAAAAGCUGAUUGGCCCCUGUUUUGUAGGUGAUGACCUUUGUCUGAAACAUGAAGGGACUUGAAAUGAUUCUCAUAAAAGCGCUUGUAGAGUUGUUGACUUCAAAGAAGGAUCUUCCCCCUGACUCCUGAUCCUGGUCUCCAUGCCUCUCAGAAACCAGUGGGCUUCGGAGUGACUUAUGUUUCACUGAUUGAAAUGAUUGGAGCUGACGCAAACACUAUGGGCAGGCCUCGUAGCCACACGCUCGGCCAGACUUAUUGUCAACAUUGCCCUGAUGACAGCAUUCUCCUACCCCAUCUGCAGCUGCAAGGGAAUCCAUUAUUUUUCCCAUCCCGAGGGAAGGGAAAGGUCUCCGGCAUCAUUACUCCUAGGCAAAUGUAACUGACUCUACCACGUACCCUAAUUUGCUUGCCAUAAUUAUAGGUCGCUCACCUGCUUUGUUAUUUCCAAACCCCUCCCCUUCUUUUCUGUUCUUAUCAAUAAUAAAUGGAGCCUGUGAAUCAUA